UUUUCCCCUUGAUUACACAUAUUGUGCAAAUUGGCUUCAUUACUUAACUUUACUUUUACGGGCAUUUGCAGUCAGCUUGAGGUUUCCUGCUUCGUUACUGAUGUCACAAAGAUGUUUCCAGAGCUCACUCAAGUAUAAAGAGACAGGGGGGAUACCUCCACAGUUAUUACAUGACACAAUGAUUAUCACACUUAUUAGAAUCUUUACAUAUAUCCCGCUAGGACUGGCUCUGCGUGUGUCUCAGCCUUAUCGUGUGGUUGGGAAAGAGGGAGAAGUCCCCCUCCGCUGCUCCUUCAGUUCAAAGUUAAAGCCUGAGGAAAUGUGGGUAUCUCUAUACAAAGGUUUGCACGACCCUGAGAGGAUCUGCAGCGCUUAUGUCAAACUCGCUGAGCCCUACUUCGCAACAGAUGGCACAGUUAAUUGCAGAGGGAAUAUUAGCUCUGGAAGAGUGGACAUGAUCAUCGCUGGACUGCGAGGGAACGACACAGACCUCUAUCGCUGUGAGAUCGAGGUUCUCUUCCCACCUCCCUAUCUCAGAACCAUUGGGAGCGGCACUGUUGUUUACAUACAAGAAACUCCAAGCUGCCCCACUGCAUCCACCCAGAGCCAGAUUCAGAGCCAGAGCCAGACUUCAGAGCGGGAAGCUGUCAAAAAUGAUGUAGGCCCACUUCCUCUGCUAUAUGCCAUCCUAAUCAUCACUUCCUGCAGUUUAAUUCUACAGAUGAUCGCCUGCAGAUGGAGGGCCUCUACAGCCACGGCACCUAUGCUUUCACAAAAAGAGAGCUAUAUGAAAUUCUAAGGGGAUAUUAUCUCCGUUUGCAUGUACUCACAUGUAUUCUAACCUGCAUGUACUCCCCAGACAGCAACAUAGUGUUGGCCUAGAUUUGGAUCUGGGACGACACUGCAUGCUGUCUGGGUCACAUGUCAUUUUCUCCUGCAUGUAUUUUCAUGUAAUUUUAACCUGCAUGUAUUGGCAUGUACUCACUGUGUUUUUUAAUUACAUGUACUCACAUGAAUUCUCACUUGCAUGUAUUCACAUGUAUUUACACAACAUUUGACCACUGUUUUUGUUAUUUCGUUUUCUUUAUAUUUUAUUAGAAUGAAAUAAACAUAUUUACAUUUAACCCGUGUGCUGUACUGAAAAUCCUGUCACGAGUUUGCCUGACUGACCCAUUGGGGUACUCAGGGGCGGACUGACCAUCUGGACGUUCUGGAGAAGUCCAAGCCUGGCUGGUUCAUCAUCAAAGAAAAAGGGUCAGAUUAAGUGACGCUGACGGCCGACAAAAGAGACCAAAACUGAUGCAAAGGAAAAAAAGCGAACAGUUACAUCAGCAAAAACAAACCGAAGAGCUUCGGCCAGCAUCACACUGUCAAACUGAUGAGGAUACGUCAACAUGCCUGACAGGUUCACUCUGCUUACUUUCAGCUUUUGUUUCAUACUUCACAAUGUUUGUAGUUGGACCGUGAGUGCACCUCUCAACCACACAUUCAAUGAGGACGACUCUGUCAGUGUCACAUGCAUGUUUAAUGGAGAGGAUCAGUUUCAUUUGGAAGCUAAGUUGAAAAUGAAUGAUGAAUAUGUUUGUGAGGUUUAUAACAAAAGCCAAGUACAGGAUAAACGUAACUGUUUAUGGGAGCGUAAGGACAACAAAUUCACGUUCACCUUAUUGAACCCUGAGGGCUUACACAAAAAUAAUUUUUCCUGUGAGAUGUCCAAAAUUAAACCAUUUCCAGUCACAAUGAAAGUAGGACCAAAAACUAAGCUUUUCCGAGGUUGCAAUAAGUCUUUGGCUCCACUGAAGAACAGCUGUCCAAUCACUAACCAAACAAAUAACCAGGAUCACAGACCUGUAGAAAGUUACACACCUGAAGAAGUGUAUACCCUAUUAAUCUGUGGGCUGAUAAUAGUGGUGGUAAUGCUAUCUGUCUACAGCAUUAUUGUUACGGCAGUCUACAUCAGAUUGAGGGCCAUGAAUCCCGAGUCUUCUGACACACUGACCUAUGUCCCAAUGCAGAGGAAUGUAAACUGGCGUAAUCUAGACAACACCGAAUAUGUGGACAUGCGUGAAGUGCAGAAACGGGGAGGAUCCCAAAGAGAUAUGAACCACAACUCUCAUCAUGCUUUUGCCUGAGCCCAUUUCUAGUGGCAUAAGUGAGCUCAUGCUUUGACUGCUCUGCUGGAUGAAUUUCACUUGGGCCACACUAAAGAAUAACACAGGAUAAAACUAUCGCCUUUCUACCAAACAAAACAGACUUUUCUGAAUGCCUGAAUCUGCAUAUUGCGGCUGCACUGCAUACAUUACGCAGUCUUGAUGUUCUCUGUGUCAGAUGGUUUCAUCUGGUGGCUUGUACAACCUAAUGCUGAAUUGUAGCUAUGCCAAGUUAAAUGUAUAUAAAGUAUCUAACUUGGCAUUUUUUAUUUAUCAUUUUGAUCCCAUGGACCAAUAAUCAAUGAUAAUAAGAGUUUUGUUCAGUGCUUCCCCUCCCCCUCUCCCCCCCAAAAAAAUAAAAAAAAGAAAUUCUAACAAUAAAUAUAUAAAACUGAGACUAUAUUGAAUGAUUAUUUAUAUUUGCUGAUUAUAUGGUUAAGUAAAUAAAGAAAAACACAUUCAGAUAAGAUCUCAUAAAUGUGGUAUGUAUACGUUGAUGUGAGUGACUUAGCGAUAUUAUUGAUUUAGUAAGGAAAUUAUUAACAACCAGUGACCAGUCUGACCACCAGUGUGUUCAUAAAAACUGUAACAUACUGUAAAUCCUUUACGUUUACUACAGUUUGUUUCAAACAUAGACAGAAAGAGAUACUGUAUACAGAAAUAUCUCUUUCCAGAACUACCCAC
ensembl:lncRNA